rnacentral:rRNA from 1 species
CGGAUUGCAGGCUGCAACCCGCCUGCAUGAAGUUGGAAUCGCUAGUAAUCGCGGAUCAGCAUGCCGCGGUGAAUACGUUCCCGGGCCUUGUACACACCGCCCGUCACACCAUGAGAGUCGGGAACACCCGAAGUCCGUAGCCUAACCGCAAGGGGGGCGCGGCCGAAGGUGGGUUCGAUAAUUGGGGUGAAGUCGUAACAAGGUAGC